rnacentral:rRNA from 1 species
GUAAUGUCUGGGAAACUGCCUGAUGGAGGGGGAUAACUACUGGAAACGGUGGCUAAUACCGCAUAACGUCGCAAGACCAAAGAGGGGGACCUUCGGGCCUCUUGCCAUCAGAUGUGCCCAGAUGGGAUUAGCUUGUUGGUGAGGUAACGGCUCACCAAGGCGACGAUCCCUAGCUGGUCUGAGAGGAUGACCAGCCACACUGGAACUGAGACACGGUCCAGACUCCUACGGGAGGCAGCAGUGGGGAAUAUUGCACAAUGGGCGCAAGCCUGAUGCAGCCAUGCCGCGUGUAUGAAGAAGGCCUUCGGGUUGUAAAGUACUUUCAGCGGGGAGGAAGGUGU